UGGUAAUAACGCUUUCACAAACACAAAAGAGUGAUGCCACUACCAGAGGCAUACAGCAGUGGCAGCUCGGCUGCAUAUGUCCGCAUCCUUCCCCAGGUGGCGUCUUUACAGUGACACUACUAGCUGCCAAGUGCCAUGCAACUAGAAGCUACCUCUUUGUCAGUUAUACUCCACGGGGACGCCACUAGUCUUCUCCCACCACUAAACAGCAUCAUUCGACUGCACCCUGGUGGCUGUAUUUCGAAGCAGUUUUCGUGUUGUGCUAGUGACUGCUGAUGUGUGUCGUUCGACUUCAACGUUAUUUUUCCAAUUUGUUAUUUGAAAAAUGUUAAAAAAGUGGUCUACAGUAACAAUUGUGCACUUUUUAGAACUAUAUGAAGAGCGACCAUGCUUAUGGAAUCACAAAUAUGAAUCGUACAAAGAUCGUAAUAUGAGAGAGCAUGCCCUUUUAGAAAUUGUAAAUUAUAUGCGGAAAAUAGUCCCCGACUGCAACUUGGCACUUGUUAAAGCAAAAAUUAGGAGUAUUAGAAAUGCAUACAUUAACGAAUAUAAUAAAAUUUUAAAAUCUCGGAAAAAUGGUGCGUCUGCAGGUGAUGUCUAUAAACCAACUGUUGGUUGGUAUGCUACAGCAGACAGGUUCCUGAAAUAUGUCGUGGAAACACGAGAAGCAAAGGACACUCUGGAAUAUGAGGGAUCAAUUGAUAUAAAAGAAGACAAUAUUUCUGUUCAUUCACCAGGGUCACCCAUGACAGAACAGCCACAACAGGAACCUCAGAGCUGCAUAAAAAGAAAGUAUCCUUUCCACAGCAAAGAACCAGAGAAAAGACCCAAGAGCAAUCAGAAAGUGGAAGCUGUUACAGAAGCUGUUGCGGUAUUAAGAGAAAUAACUGAAAAAGUGGAAGAACUGAAGCAGGACGAACUGGAUGCAUUUGGGAAAACAGUAGUAGCGUAUCUCAGAAAAAUGCCAGAUGAUGUUGCCUUGGACUGCCAGGCUGAAAUAAUAAACUACUUAAUUUCUCAGAAAAAGGCUUUGCUGCAAAGUGCAGAUGGAAGCAACAUUCACAGUGUAUCAGAUUAAUAACUACAAAAGGUGAUGAUAUCUUCCUACUGUGUACCACCCUGUAGAGCAGUAACUCAAUGUGAGAACCUGUUCACCUUUGAACUGUAUGCAGCUAUGACCUUAAGGCAGACAAUGCCCAAACGAAAAAGAGGAGGAGACCUUGCCAGUUCUGAACCAAAAUGGCGUAAACAAAGUGAACAGCGACUAAAUGAAGCAAAAUAAGAACGCAAAGCAUGUUUAAGUUUCCAAUGAAUGAGAAUGAGCACCGUGACAAUCAGAGAAACCGAAGAACAAUGAAAUCAACGCAUUGAAGAAUCAAACAAUGCACACGGCCUUAAAAAAGAGGGACAGGGAAUUCAAGACAGCCAUGAAAAUAUCACCCUUCGAAAAGCGUCAACGAGGACAAGGAAACAGUACAGCCUAUCAAAUGAAUCAUUGUACUAUUACCUGACAAAAGAAUAUAACAAUCACAAACACACAAUAAUCGGAAAAGUGGAUAUCUGCCAAUUUUGCAACGUGAAAUAAUUCAGUAGAGGAACACCAGGGC